rnacentral:rRNA from 1 species
CCUAACACAUGCAAGUCGAGCGGUAACAGAAAGUAGCUUGCUACUUUGCUGACGAGCGGCGGACGGGUGAGUAAUGCUUGGGAACAUGCCUUGAGGUGGGGGACAACAGUUGGAAACGACUGCUAAUACCGCAUAAUGUCUACGGACCAAAGGGGGCUUCGGCUCUCGCCUUUAGAUUGGCCCAAGUGGGAUUAGCUAGUUGGUGAGGUAAUGGCUCACCAAGGCGACGAUCCCUAGCUGGUUUGAGAGGAUGAUCAGCCACACUGGGACUGAGACACGGCCCAGACUCCUACGGGAGGCAGCAGUGGGGAAUAUUGCACAAUGGGCGCAAGCCUGAUGCAGCCAUGCCGCGUGUGUGAAGAAGGCCUUCGGGUUGUAAAGCACUUUCAGUCAGGAGGAAAGGUUAGUAGUUAAUACCUGCUAGCUGUGACGUUACUGACAGAAGAAGCACCGGCUAACUCCGUGCCAGCAGCCGCGGUAAUACGGAGGGUGCGAGCGUUAAUCGGAAUUACUGGGCGUAAAGCGUACGCAGGCGGUUUGUUAAGCGAGAUGUGAAAGCCCUGGGCUCAACCUGGGAACUGCAUUUCGAACUGG